UGGGGAAUAUUGCACAAUGGGGGAAACCCUGAUGCAGCAACGCCGCGUGAAGGAAGAAGGUUUUUCGGAUCGUAAACUUCUAUCAAUAGGGACGAAUAAAAUGACGGUACCUAAAUAAGAAGCCCCGGCUAACUACGUGCCAGCAGCCGCGGUAAUACGUAGGGGCAAGCGUUAUCCGGAGUUACUGGGUGUAAAGGGAGCGUAGGCGGCAUGGUAAGCCAGAUGUGAAAGCCCGAGGCUUAACUUCGAGGAUUGCAUUUGGAACUAUCAGGCUAGAGUACAGGAGAGGAAAGCGGAAUUCCUAGUGUAGCGGUGAAAUGCGUAGAUAUUAGGAGGAACACCAGUGGCGAAGGCGGCUUACUGGACGGUAACU
rnacentral:rRNA from 1 species